GAUGAACGCUGGCGGCGUGCCUAAUACAUGCAAGUCGAGCGAAUGGAUUAAGAGCUUGCUCUUAUGAAGUUAGCGGCGGACGGGUGAGUAACACGUGGGUAACCUGCCCAUAAGACUGGGAUAACUCCGGGAAACCGGGGCUAAUACCGGAUAACAUUUUGAACCGCAUGGUUCGAAAUUGAAAGGCGGCUUCGGCUGUCACUUAUGGAUGGACCCGCGUUGCAUUAGCUAGUUGGUGAGGUAACGGCUCACCAAGGCAACGAUGCGUAGCCGACCUGAGAGGGUGAUCCGCCACACUGGGACUGAGACACGGCCCAGACUCCUACGGGAGGCAGCAGUAGGGAAUCUUCCGCAAUGGACGAAAGUCUGACGGAGCAACGCCGCGUGAGUGAUGAAGGCUUUCGGGUCGUAAAACUCUGUUGUUAGGGAAGAACAAGUGCUAGUUGAAUAAGCUGGCACCUUGACGGUACCUAACCAGAAAGCCACGGCUAACUACGUGCCAGCAGCCGCAGUAA
rnacentral:rRNA from 1 species